rnacentral:rRNA from 1 species
UAACGAAUAUUGGGCAAUGGGCGAAAGCCUGACCCAGCAAUGCCGCGUGCAGGACGAAGUCCUUCGGGAUGUAAACUGCUGUCAGGGGUCCGCAAGCGAAGGGGUCCAACAGGCCCUGGAGUUGAGCAGCCCCAGAGGAAGCCUCGACUAACUCCGUGCCAGCAGCCGCGGUAAUACGGAGGGUGCAAGCGUUGUUCGGAUUCACUGGGUAUAAAGGGUGCGUAGGCGGCGCGAUAAGUCAGGGGUGAAAUAUGUCGGCUCAACCGACAAACUGCCUCUGAAACUGCCGCGCUUGAGGUCGGGAGAGGAAGGUGGAAUUCCAGGUGUAGCGGUGAAAUGCGUAAAUAUCUGGAGGAACACCAAUGGCGAAGGCAGCCUUCUGGCCCGAUUCUGACGCUGAGGCACGAAAGCCAGGGGAGCAAACG